GAUGAACGCUGGCGGCGUGCCUAAUACAUGCAAGUCGAGCGAACGGACGAGAAGCUUGCUUUUCUGAUGUUAGCGGCGGACGGGUGAGUAACACGUGGAUAACCUACCUAUAAGACUGGGAUAACUUCGGGAAACCGGAGCUAAUACCGGAUAAUAUUUUGAACCGCAUGGUUCAAAAGUGAAAGACGGUCUUGCUGUCACUUAUAGAUGGAUCCGCGCUGCAUUAGCUAGUUGGUAAGGUAACGGCUUACCAAGGCAACGAUGCAUAGCCGACCUGAGAGGGUGAUCGGCCACACGGGAACUGAGACACGGUCCAGACUCCUACGGGAGGCAGCAGUAGGGAAUCUUACGCAAUGGGCGAAAGCCUGACGGAGCAACGCCGCGUGAGUGAUGAAGGUCUUCGGAUCGUAAAACUCUGUUAUUAGGGAAGAACAUAUGUGUAAGUAACUGUGCACAUCUUGACGGUACCUAAUCAGAAAGCCACGGCUAACUACGUG
rnacentral:rRNA from 1 species